GACGGAGGGGGCUAGCGUUGUUCGGAAUUACUGGGCGUAAAGGGCGCGUAGGCUGUCAUGUAAGUUGGAAGUGAAAUCCCGGAGCUUAACUCCGGAACUGCUUUCAAAACUACAUAACUAGAGUGCGGUAGGGGGUGAUGGAAUUCCUAGUGUAGAGGUGAAAUUCUUAGAUAUUAGGAGGAACACCAGGGGCGAAGGCGAUCACCUGGGCCGCGACAGACGCUGAGGCGCGAAAGCGUGGGGAGCAAACAGG
rnacentral:rRNA from 1 species